UGGAAAUCUAGAGGAAAGAAAGUUCAUUUAAGUGGAGAAAGAUAUAAGAAGGCUGCCAUGUUGUGUCCUUUCUGUGGCCAGCAUCUGGGGACAGUUCAAGUGUUCUGUGGCUCCUGUGGCAAACAUGUACAGUUUUUGGCAGAAGUUGAACACAACAGCAUUCCAUAAGGAGGGUC